rnacentral:RNase_P_RNA from 1 species
CGUGCUCGCCAAGCAGCCGCGGGAGGCCGGAGAGAAAACCGGUCCUCGAGGAAAGUCCGGACACCGAAGGGCAGGGUGGUCGGUAACGCCGACCCGGGGAAACCCGCGGGAAAGUGCCACAGAAAAGACACCGCCCAAGCGACGAGCGGGCCGGCGGACGCGCGCGCCCGUCGACCGCCCGUCGCCGGCAAGGGUGAAAAGGUGCGGUAAGAGCGCACCGGCGGCGCGGCGACGCGCCGGCCAGGCAAACCCCACCCGGUGCAAGGCCAAGCAGGGACGCAGACGCUGCCCGCCGAGUCCCAGGUAGGCCGCAGGGCCGCUCAGCGGCCCGCCGCGCCCAGUGCGGCAGAUGGAUGGUUGCUCACGACAGGAUCCGGCUUAUCGGCGAGCUAAGGGA